rnacentral:rRNA from 1 species
UACGAAGGGGGCUAGCGUUGCUCGGAAUCACUGGGCGUAAGGGUGCGUAGGCGGGUCUUUAAGUCAGGGGUGAAAUCCUGGAGCUCAACUCCAGAACUGUCCUUGAUACUGAAGAUCUUGAGUUCGGGAGAGGUGAGUGGAACUGCGAGUGUAGAGGUGAAAUUCGUAGAUAUUCGCAAGAACACCAGUGGCGAAGGCGGCUCACUGGCCCGAUACUGACGCUGAGGCACGAAAGCGUGGGUCGCGAAUGGG